UUUUUUUUUUUUUCCUCCUCCCUUCUUUUUAACAUGGGGGUUGCAAAGAGAGGUAGGCUAGAGAAAAAGCAGGCACAAAGCACAAGGCAAGCUCGACGGAUCGGCUGCUGCUCGCUGGAGAUCUUCCCCUCCUCUCCAAAUAAGGUGGGCUCGAGCGAGCGCCGGGUUGGCAGCGGGAAGGCCAGGCAGGAUUCCCCGGGCGGCCGCGAGCGGGGCCGCCGCCGUCGGAUGGAUUUUUCAAGCCCCGGCACGGCCGGGAGAGAGCGCGGAGGAGCGGCGGCCGCGCGCGCGCGCGGGACUUGGAGGCCUCGGCGGGCACGCGCCCGCGCGACGCCGGCGACCUCAGGUGCAGAAAACCCAACCCGCGCGUCUCGGCCCGCGGCUUUUUAACACGAACUCGAUGCGUUUCCUCAGUACCUCACGCCGUGGGAACGGCGGGGCCGGCGCCGGCCGGCUCGUUAGCGCGACGCAACCUGUGGGAGCUCCGACGAGCGCUGGGACCGCGCACCCCGGCGGCCGGGGCGUUGGAAUUUUUUCCUCUUUUUUUUCCCUCUUUUUGGAAACUGUGCAUGCCUGCCCUCUGAGCUGCCUUGUUAAUUUAUUGUUGCGAACCCUUCUGCUGGCGUCCCCCCUCUCCGCGCUCUCUGUUCGCUCCGUAUUUAUUGGAAGGCGAGGAACGGCCCACGGCGACUCCCCGCGCGGCCCGACGGGGGGAUCGGCUCCGUCCCCCGCCCCGAGCCACGGGGACGGCCCCGCGCGGCCGCCCGCCAGCCGCCGCCGCCGCCUCUCGCCGCCCUCCUCGCUGCCCUCCCGUUGUCCGUAGGUCUUUUUAAGGGAUUUUUAACGAGAACUUUUUUCUUUUCCUUCCGUUUUUCCUGUUUUUAAUUCUUCUCCGUCGCAAAGAACUCGGUUUCCUAAAUCAUAACGGGAGCAAUAGUAUUUCUCGAUGUCCGAAUCACAUCCGUACACUCGUACUGUAUUUUGUACUGUAAGGCAGCUGUUUCCAGUAAUGUCCUGCUGUAUUUACCGAUGUGUUUUGUUCACACGCGUUCAGUUCUUUGCCGCGGAGAACGCAGCGCCGCGGGCCGGCGGCGAGGAGGAGGAGGAGGA
rnacentral:lncRNA from 1 species